AUGACACCUUUCAUUUUACCAGAAAAUGUACUGGAAAACAUAAAAAUAAAUAUUGUUGAAGAGAAAUAAAAAAACUAAAAAAAAAAACACAAUUCAUUUUCAAGCAGUUCACUGUGUUGUACAAUUGACCGGAAUCAAUGAUUUGCUGAGCGGGCCUCCACUGAAGCCCAUCUCUGAGGGGACCAGAGUGCCAUGGACUGACUUAGAGAACUACUGGUGCUCCGAAUCCUCCGGUUUAGCCCUUACACUUGUAAAGUUAGGAAAAUGUGAAUUCCAAGAGGAAGGAAAUAAGCUGAGGUGCGUAAAUCCAUACAUUGGCAUGGUAUUAAGGCCCACCUACACAUAAAGAAAAGUCAACGGAAUCCACCAAUUUGGACAGGAUUGGCCAGCUUUCUAAUGUGUAUGGGGUCCUCCCAACUCUUGACAGAUGAAGACUAUCCUGGCUCACAUAUCCCUUCAGGGUGUGUUGCAGACUUUGAUAUAUGCUUGCACUGGUCUUUGGUAAAGAAGUGGACAGCUGGUUGAGAAAAGCUGUGCCUGCCCCGGGAUUGGGACGUCAUCAGAAGGAGGAAGAGCAGCACAGAAGUGAGAACCAGGAGAUCUGACAGCGGGACCCGUUUUAUCUCUAUAGUCCUCUCCAGGGCUGAGAAAUGUGCCUUUUUGUUCUUUGCAAAUGUCAUCCCUAGCAGAGCAAGA